rnacentral:rRNA from 1 species
CACGGGUGAGUAACACGUAUCCAACCUGCCGUCUACUCUUGGACAGCCUUCUGAAAGGAAGAUUAAUACAAGAUGGCAUCAUGAGUUCACAUGUUCACAUGAUUAAAGGUAUUCCGGUAGACGAUGGGGAUGCGUUCCAUUAGAUAGUAGGCGGGGUAACGGCCCACCAGCCAACGAUGGAUAGGGGUUCUGAGAGGAAGGUCCCCCACAUUGGAACUGAGACACGGUCCAA